GAUUUCUGGCCUGAAACCUUUUGCCGGCCACGGUUUCGUGUGUUAGUGCUUGAGGUUCUGGCCAUCCUUCCAAUCGCUAUUCACCUUUCUUCAUUGAUUGGGGAGUGGUAUUGGAUCUUUUACUUUGAAAAAAUUAGAGUGUUUCAAGCAGGCUUUAUGCUAUGAAUACAUUAGCAUGGAAUAAUAAUUUAGGACUUCGGUUCUAUUUUGUUGGUUUCUAGGACUGAAGUAAUGAUUGAUAGGGAUAGUUGGGGGUGCUAGUAUUCAGCGGCCAGAGGUGAAAUUCUCGGAUUCGCUGAAGACUAACUUAUGCGAAAGCAUU
rnacentral:rRNA from 1 species